rnacentral:sRNA from 1 species
GCUGGAUAUGGUGGUGCACGCCUGUAAUCCCAGCCACUUGGGAGGCUGAGGCAGGAGGAUCCCAAGUUUGAAGUCAGCUUCAGCAAUUUAGUGAGAACCCAUCUCAA